UACCUGGUUGAUCCUGCCAGUAGCAUAUGCUUGUCUCAAAGAUUAAGCCAUGCAUGUCUAAGUACAAGCCCCCAGUGGGCGAAACCGCGAAUGGCUCAAUAAAUCAGUUAUGGUUCCUUAGAUCGUACUAUAUCCUACUUGGAUAACUGUGGUAAUUCUAGAGCUAAUACAUGCACAAUAGCCCCAACUUCACGGAAGGGGUGCUUUUAUUAGAUCAAGACCAAUCGGGCUUCGGCUCGUCUCUUGGUGACUCUGAAUAACUAUAGCCGAUCGCACGGUCUCGCACCGGCGACGUGUCUUUCAAAUGUCUGCCUUAUCAACUUUCGAUGGUAGG
rnacentral:rRNA from 1 species